UACGGAGGGUGCAAACGUUGCUCGGAAUUAUUGGGCGUAAAGCGCACGUGGGCGGUUCGUUAAGUCGGGUGUGAAAGCCCUGGGCUCAACCCAGGAAGGGCAUUCGAAACUGGCGAGCUUGAGUACGGAAGAGGGUCUCGGAAUUCCCGGUGUAGAGGUGAAAUUCGUAGAUAUCGGGAGGAACACCAGUGGCGAAGGCGGAGACCUGGGCCGAUACUGACGCUGAGGUGCGAAAGCGUGGGGAGCAAACAGG
rnacentral:rRNA from 1 species